UACGAAGGGGGCUAGCGUUGUUCGGAAUUACUGGGCGUAAAGGGCGCGUAGGCGGCGUGUCAAGUCAGGCGUGAAAGCCCCGGGCUCAACCUGGGAACCGCGCUUGAGACUGGCAUGCUCGAGUUCGGGAGAGGAUGGUGGAAUUCCCAGUGUAGAGGUGAAAUUCGUAGAUAUUGGGAAGAACACCGAUGGCGAAGGCAGCCAUCUGGACCGACACUGACGCUGAGGCGCGAAAGCGUGGGGAGCAAACAGG
rnacentral:rRNA from 2 species